rnacentral:rRNA from 1 species
UACGUAGGGGGCGAGCGUUGUCCGGAUUUAUUGGGCGUAAAGAGCUCGUAGGCGGUUCGAUAAGUCAGGUGUAAAAACUCCAGGCUCAACUUGGAGAGGCCACCUGAUACUGUCGUGACUAGAGUCCGGUAGAGGAGCACGGAACUCCUGGUGUAGCGGUGAAAUGCGCAGAUAUCAGGAGGAACACCAGCGGCGAAGGCGGUGCUCUGGGCCGGAACUGACGCUGAGGAGCGAAAGCGUGGGGAGCGAACAGG